rnacentral:rRNA from 1 species
GGCGGACGGGUGAGUAACGCGUAGGCAACCUGCCCCAUACAGAGGGAUAGCCUCGGGAAACCGGGAUUAAAACCUCAUAACGCGAGGAGUUCACAUGGGCUUCUCGCCAAAGAUUUAUCGGGGUAUGAUGAGCCCGCGUUGGAUUAGCUAGUUGGUGGGGUAAAGGCCUACCAAGGCGACGAUCCAUAGCUGGUCUGAGAGGAUGAUCAGCCACAUUGGGACUGAGACACGGCCCAAACUCCUACGGGAGGCAGCAGUGGGGAAUAUUGGACAAUGGGCGCAAGCCUGAUCCAGCCAUGCCGCGUGAGUGAUGAAGGUCUUAGGAUUGUAAAGCUCUUUCACCGGAGAAGAUAAUGACGGUAUCCGGAGAAGAAGCCCCGGCUAACUUCGUGCCAGCAGCCGCGGUAAUACGAAGGGGGCUAGCGUUGUUCGGAAUUACUGGGCGUAAAGCGCACGUAGGCGGAUAUUUAAGUCAGGGGUGAAAUCCCAGAGCUCAACUCUGGAACUGCCUUUGAUACUGGGUAUCUAGAGUAUGGAAGAGGUGAGUGGAAUUCCGAGUGUAGAGGUGAAAUUCGUAGAUAUUCGGAGGAACACCAGUGGCGAAGGCGGCUCACUGGUCCAUUACUGACGCUGAGGUGCGAAAGCGUGGGGAGCAAACAGGAUUAGAUACCCUGGGUAGUCCACGCCGUAAACGAUGAAUGUUAGCCGUCGGGCAGCUUGCUGUUCGGUGGCGCAGCUAACGCAUUAAACAUUCCGCCUGGGGAGUACGGUCGCAAGAUUAAAACUCAAAGGAAUUGA